UAAAGAUUUAUCGCUGUUAGAUGAUUCUUAGUCGGAUUAGAUAGUUGGUAGGGUAACGGCCUACCAAGUCAAUGAUCCGUAGCCGGUCUUAACGGACGUACGGCCACAUCGGGACUGAGACACGGCCCGAGUUCCUUUGGGAAGCUGCAGUCAAGAAUCUUGGACAAUGCACGAAAGUGUGAUCCAGCGACGCCACGUGGGUGAAGAUGGCCAAUUAGGUUGUAAAACCCUUUCACUAAGGAGAAUAAUGAUGUUACUUAGAGAAGAAGUCCCGGCUAACUCCGUGCCAGCAGCCGCGGUAAUACGGGGGGGACGAGUGUUACUCGGAAUGAUUAGGCGUAAAGGGUCCUUUAAGCGGUUUAAUAAGUUAAAAGUUUUCUCAUAUGGGCCCCAACCUGUAUGUACUUUUGAAACUGUUAGACUUGAGUUUAUCAGGAGAUAGUAGAAUUCAUGGAGUAGGGGUAAAAUCCAAUAAUCUCAUGAGGAACACCAGUGGCGAAGGCGACUAUCUAGGGUAAAACUGACGCUGUAAGACGAAGGUAUGGGUAUCAAAUGGGAUUAGAGACCCCAGUAGUCCAUACAGUAAACGAUGAGUGCUAAACAUUCGGGCAUAGAUUUGUCUGGGUGUUACAGCUAACGCAUUAAGCACUCCGCCUGGGGAGUACUAUCGCAAGGUAGAAACUCAAAGGAAUUGGCGGGGAUUCAUACAAGCGGUGGAACAUGUGGUUUAAUUCGACGAUACGCGAAAAACCUUACCGAUCCUUGACAUCUAUUGUUGUUUAAUAUGCAAAUAUUGAUGUAAAAAAUAGACAGGUGUUGCAUGGCUGUCGUCAGCUCGUGUCGUGAGAUGUUGGGUUAAGUCCUUUAACGAGCGCAACCUCUGUUCUUAGUUACUAACUUUAAUUAAAGUGUACUCUAAGAAGACUGCUAACAAAGAGUUAGAGGAAGGUGGAGAUGACGUCAAGUAAUCAUGGCCCUUAUGGAUCGGGCUACACACGUGUUACAAUGGUAAUGACAGCAAGAAGCGAAAGCGCGAGCUGGAGCAAAUCUUUAAACAUUAUCUCAGUCCGGAUUGUAGGCUGCAACUCGCCUACAUGAAGUUGGAAUCGCUAGUAAUCGCGUAUCAGCAUGACGCGGUGAAAUUGUUCCUGAAUCUUGCACUCACCGCCC
rnacentral:rRNA from 1 species